GUGCCAGCCGCCGCGGUAAUACCGGCAGCUCAAGUGAUGUCCCAUAUUAUUGGGCCUAAAGCGUCCGUAGCUGGCCGACCAAGUCUCCCGGGAAAUCCACCCGCCCAACGGGUGGGCGUCUAGCGGAAACUGCCUGGCUUGGGGCCGGAGGACUCGAGGGGUACGUCCGGGGUAGGAGUGAAAUCCCGUAAUCCUGGACGGACCACCGGUGGCGAAAGCGCCUCGAGAGGACGGACCCGACAGUGAGGGACGAAAGCCAGGGUCUCGAACCGGAUUAGAAACCCUGGUAGUCC
rnacentral:rRNA from 1 species